GAUGAAGAACGCAGCGAAAUGCGAUACGUAGUGUGAAUUGCAGAAUCCAGUGAAUCAUCGAAUCUUUGAACGCACAUUGCGCCCACUGGUAUUCCGGUGGGCAUGCCUGUUCGAGCGUCAUUAUCCUCCCUCAAACCCCGUGUUUGGUGUUGGGCCCGCGUUCCUGCGAAGGAACCGGCCUCAAAGACAAUGACGGCGUCCGCGGGACCCUCGGUGCAACGAGCUUUCAGGAGCACGCGCCGAGUUUCAAGGUCCCCCCGGGCCGGUCUAACCCUUUUUUUACUUAUAAGGUUGACCUCGGAUCAGGUAGGAAUACCCGCUGAACUUAAGCAUAUCAAUAAGCGGAGGA
rnacentral:misc_RNA from 1 species